GAAAUGCGAUAAGUAAUGUGAAUUGCAGAAUUCAGUGAAUCAUCGAAUCUUUGAACGCAUCUUGCGCUCCUUGGUAUUCCGAGGAGCAUGCCUGUUUGAGUGUCAUUUAACUUCUCAACCACAUACAUUGUCGGUGAUGUGGCUUGGAUGGUGGGGGUUUUCUCUGCAGGCCCUUCUUGUCUGCUCCCCUGAAAUGCAUUAGCGGUAUCUGAGCUGCUGCUGUAGGUGUGAUAAAUCUAUCUAUGCCUCUGGUAUGCUGCAUGAGCAGAUUGCACCGCUUCAAACGAUGUAACAACCUGACGAAUUUGACCUCAAAUCAGGUAGGACUACCCGCUGAACUUAA
rnacentral:misc_RNA from 1 species